CUCCUUCUAAAAAAAUUCAAAUUCCUAUCCCUCUUUCUUCAAACAUUUAAAAUCAUUUACCUCCUCCCCAAAUUUUUUAAUUUUUUCUCUCUUUUUUAUUCCCUCCAUCUCCUCCAUUUUCAUUUAUUAAAUUUUAUUUUUAUUUUUUUUAUUUCUUUCUUUCAAUGAAGGUAAAGAAGAUAAAAAUGAACAUUAAAAAACUGUGAAAAAAGACUAAUCAACAAAAAAAAAUGAAGUAGAGAAUGAAAAAUCAAUUAAAAAAAGAUGAAAAGUAGUCAAUACUAUAAAAGAUGAAGAGCAGUUAGUGAAGA
rnacentral:lncRNA from 1 species